rnacentral:rRNA from 1 species
CACGUAGGGUGCGAGCGUUGUCCGGAAUUAUUGGGCGUAAAGCGCUCGUAGGCGGUGUGUCGCGUCGGCCGUGAAAACCUGCAGCUUAACUGUGGGCGUGCGGUCGAUACGGGCAUCACUGGAGUUCGGCAGGGGAGACUGGAAUUCCUGGUGUAGCGGUGAAAUGCGCAGAUAUCAGGAGGAACACCGGUGGCGAAGGCGGGUCUCUGGGCCGAUACUGACGCUGAGGAGCGAAAGCGUGGGGAGCAAACAGG